rnacentral:rRNA from 1 species
UACGGAGGGUGCGAGCGUUGUCCGGAAUCACUGGGCGUAAAGGGCGCGUAGGUGGCGAAGCAAGUCAACGGUGAAAAGCUCGACGCUCAACGUCGAGUCGGCCGUCGAUACUGCAUCGCUCGAGCACUGUAGAGGCAGAUGGAAUUCCGGGUGUAGCGGUGGAAUGCGUAGAGAUCCGGAAGAACACCGGUGGCGAAGGCGGUCUGCUGGGCAGUAGCUGACACUGAGGCGCGACAGCGUGGGGAGCAAACAGG